UCUGUCCUUGCGUGUGACUCUGUGUGUGUGUGUGUGUGUGCAAGAGCAUAUGCGUGCGUGGGUGCGUGCUUUCCUCAACACCUCUCGCCUUCCUACACAAUCCUCUGCUUCAGGUGAGUGUGAUCGUUUUUCAAUUGCUUCUCCCAGAAGCGCCAGAGGACACUCGUAUUUCACAUUAAUAUUCAUUUUACCGGCCGCGUGAGCCUCGGCAAGGGGAGGAGGCUGAGACGUGUGAAAACGACAUCUCUCCUCAUCAUACGAGUCCUUCCUCUUCAUUAUCUUGGACCAGCCACUCCAGCCUUCAACAGCAGCUUCACCUGCACGGGACUCUCAGCGGACUCUGAGGCUGCCUUGCAGGUCGGACGAUGGAGAUAACUUCGCCACAACCCAUACAAAUAUCUCCAUGUCGCACUGACUUUUAUACCAAUUCCACUCGCAAGUCACUCAUCAGAACUUCGCCGCAUCCUAGGCUUGACUCCUGCAUCCAUCAACGGAAAAACCUGCGCCUGGCUACGGUCCGUAAGUCAUCGAAUCCUGGCACAUCGAAAAGUAAUUCUGCACACAGACUUCGGCCAUCCUGCGUGUACGACAAGAUGCUUCCACUGUUCCAGCCCUCAGCAAAGCAGUCAUCAUCAGCUCGUGCCAGCUCGUGGCAAAGAAAGUCAUCAUCAACCACUGACAUCUGCUGCUGCAAGUCUGCGCCACCCGUUUCCUCGCUUUGCCACAUCCCUCAGCCAGCCUUCCCACCCGAGGACUGCGCGGGUGCACCGACGAGCAAUGACUGUUCGCACUUCUCACCUGCAGCUUGCUCGUAUUCUGCAAUGAUUCCCAGGAUGUCUCCAGCAGCGAUCAGAAGCAUCUCGAUGUCACAGCAGUCUGCCCUCUCCAGUGCAGCAAGUCCUUUAGCGUAUCGUCUUCUGUAUGGUUCGUGGGAAGACGAUCUACCAUUCAUUGACCUCGACGAGGCCAAGUAGUUUGUUUACAUUUAUUUUCUCAAGUGCUCUUACAACAAAGUCCAAAACAAGUAUGUCCCACUGUAAAAGUCUCAUUACACCACAACUAACCAUACUUCUUCGAGCAUUGCGUCUCUGCUGACUAGUUUGAAUGACAUUUAAAUCACAUUUUUGCUGCAGGCGGUUGAGCCACAGACCUGUAUACAGAUACAGAUUCAUGAUUAAACUUAUACCUUGUUACAACGCUUCAUUGGACCCAAUCAGAUGUGUCUGGUGUUUCUCAUUAAAUCUCCUCAGGUGAUUUGCUUUUCAUUCCCAUGAGAUGUAUUUUAAGCUACCAGUUUUUUUUUUCAGUUAUUACUUUAAUGAGAAUCAGGCUAUAUUCAUAGAAAUACACAAUUUUUUCUGCUGUGCAGUUCUGUGCAUUUAUUAAAAGUAAUAAGUUUUCGUUUUACAUUUGCACCAUACAGACUUUUUUCUCAAUGUUGUCAAAGCAAGACAUCAUGGAAAGUUAAAGAUGGCAGGAAGAAAAUAGCCAGUCAAAUAUUCUUGUUAUAAUAUGAGUCCACAUUGUGCAGAUAAAAAGCAACACAUUACACACUAAUUAGGCAAAAAUAAAUAUGACGAUGCAAGAAAGCUACAACACAUCCGAAUGCCAGUUGUGCCUACACACACACACAAACAGAUUUGCCCUCACAUCUGAAACACAUGCUGAGCACUAGAUGAUUUCCACAGACUUAAGAGGCAAUGUAAGAUGCUGACCAAGAUGGAGAAACAAGAUAAACUGCACUUUGAAUAUCUUUUUCUAAAGAUGCUAGCAUUCAUGCACAUUGCUUCUGAGGUCAUAAGUCACUUUGCAUUCUAAAUCCUUUUACAUUAGACAUUCACAAGAUGUGUUUCACUAACUUAGAAGGCACAAAAACAGUUUGCCUUACUCCUUAGCAACCAGUGAUGCUGCUUGAAAGGGAAGACAAGAGCCAGAUUCUCUCAUACUUAUGCACCCAAAUGAAAAAUCACCAUUAUUACAGCUGAAACAAUAAUGUGCUGCUCAGCUUGUAAGUGAACAUUUUCAUUAAUUGCUGUAUAUGUGUUCUUUUGCUUCAAUUUGUGUACUUUAAAUUAUUUAGAGUCAAUAAUUCUGUAAUCAUAGGUAAACAACUAGUAAACAAGAAAAACUAUACAUUUUGUGUUUUAACUUAGUGUAUUUAAAAUUUUUACAGUUCUACAUAGAAGCUAAUACAAAGAACUUUUUUGUUAACUGCACAAGAUAACUUUAUUCAUUUUGUCAAACAUGACAUCAAAAUUGAAAUUAGUAUAAAGCACAUAAUUUUUUAAAAGUUAUCAUAAUAUUAGUUUUUUCACUGAGAAUUACUUGCAGGAUUGUUGAAUGACUCGAUUUGAAUUUGCAUUAUUUGUGUCAGGGCUCAUAAACAGAUAAUGUCUGGCUGCCUUCAUGCUACACGUACUAUCUAUUAACUCACAGCUGCACUAUUUUUUCAACCUUUUAACAAGACAGAAUUAUUCAAGUUAUAUAUUUGUCAUUAAUUUUCACACCAACAUGGUUCUUAAAAAUAAACUUAUUUCUUGUUUUA